rnacentral:misc_RNA from 1 species
GAUGAAGAACGCAGCGAAAUGCGAUAAGUAAUGCGAAUUGCAGAAUUUCCGUGAGUCAUCGAAUCUUUGAACGCACAUUGCGCCCAUUAGUAUUCUAGUGGGCAUGCCUGUUCGAGCGUCAUUUCAACCCUCAAGCCUUAGUUGCUUGGUGUUGGGAGCUUAUCUUGCCGAAAGGCGGGACAACUCCUUAAAUUUAUCGGCGGAGUCGCGGUGACCCCAAGCGUAGUAAAUUAUUUUUUCCUCGCUUUAGGUGUUAACGCUGGCUUUUCUAGCCGUUAAACCCCCCCUAAUAUUUUAAUGGUUGACCUCGGAUCAGGUAGGACUACCCGCUGAACUUAAGCAUAUCAAUAAGCGGAGGA